GAAGACUUGAUGAACCAUUCGCCG
rnacentral:siRNA from 1 species